rnacentral:miRNA from 1 species
GUGAGAAUACUGGACUAGGAUG